UGGCGGACGGGUGAGUAACGCGUGGGUAACCUGCCUCACACUGGGGGACAACAGUUAGAAAUGACUGCUAAUACCGCAUAAGCGCACAGGACCGCAUGGUCUAGUGUGAAAAACUCCGGUGGUGUGAGAUGGACCCGCGUUUGAUUAGCUAGUUGGUGGGGUAACGGCCUACCAAGGCGACGAUCAAUAGCCGACCUGAGAGGGUGACCGGCCACAUUGGGACUGAGACACGGCCCAA
rnacentral:rRNA from 1 species